GACAGAGGGGGCAAGCGUUGCUCGGAAUUACUGGGCGUAAAGGGCGCGUAGGCGGGAUGGCAAGUCGGUCGUGAAAUCCCUCGGCUCAACUGAGGAUCGUCGAUCGAUACUGCCGUUCUUGAGGAUUGCAGAGGAGACUGGAAUUCCCGGUGUAGCGGUGAAAUGCGUAGAUAUCGGGAGGAAUACCGAUGGCGAAGGCAGGUCUCUGGGCUGACACUGACGCUCAUGCACGAAAGCGUGGGGAGCAAACAGG
rnacentral:rRNA from 1 species